rnacentral:ncRNA from 2 species
UUUCCGCCCCUUGCUUCAGGUGUCCAGGCGGGUUUUCACCCGCCGGAUGAAACGGGAAGCCGGUGCGUUGUUGCCCUUAGGCAACCAACCAUCCCGGCACUGCCCCCGCAACGGUAAACGAGUCAAGGGUCUGCAUUUACACGCCACUGUGUCAUGACACGGGAAGGCGCAGCCCCGGGGAGACGUCCCCACUCGUGAGUCCGGAGACCGGCCUGUAGCUGUUGGUUGGC